AUAUAUAUAUAUAUGAUAGAGAAGAUAAAAAUUUUAUCUAAAUAGGCAAUGUAUGGAUGAGAUAAAAGAAAAGAGCGUUUGUAUGAAGCAAAUGAAGGAACUGCUCUGUUCUAACAGUAAAGAUUGAGGAGUACUCUUUUUCGGGUGGUGGGUUGUCUUCCUUCGGGAUUUUUUUGGUAUUUGUUUAUGUAUUUGGCAACUUGCUACACUGAGGAUUCUGUAUUUGUAAUAAGUAAAUAUGGAAAGGCUACACCACUGCAGGGAGUACUUCAGAAGCUUCAAAAGCAGGAGUUUGCUUUGUUGAUUUUGGCAGUGUGAUGUUGAGAGCAUGGAAAUCGUAAUUGCUGCUAAAUCUGGGGAAACUGUCACAAGCCACUUCAUGUGUUCACUAUCUCCUGUUACGUUCCAUCUACCACAGAUUCAAAAUUGUUCUUCUCUGUGCUGCUGUUAAUGAAAAGUAAUACUUUGUCAUCAAACUAAAAGGAGAAUCAAAUAAAUAAACUUUUCUUAACUUUGGUAUUUAGUAAUCAUGCUUUUAGCUGUAAGAAUUAUUAAAAUGAGCUUUUGCAUUGUCAUUUGAGAUUCUAGUCUGUUAUAACUAAAAUCUUGCUAUAGAGUAUAUAUUUGAUAUUGUUACUAUGUAUUAUGGUAUAUUUCUACAAUUUACCUGUUGUCACAUCUUGAAUAUAUUACUCAUUUUUCAGGUGAAUAGAAAACCAAAAUCCAAGGACUAAAUUCAAGUGUUUGCUAACUGAGACAGCAGUUUUCAGAAUAAGAGCAUAUGACAAAAAAUACAUUCAUCCUGAGUCUGGCUAACUUGAGAGGAAUGAAAGGAAAUUUAAAGAAAAAUUCCUAGAAGACUAAAUGAUAAUAAUUAAUUUCUACAAGCAGUAAGACUUAAGGAAGUAAAUGGAGUUUUCUUCUUUAGGCUUGGGUUUCUUGAUGCAUGAUGCAUAGAUGUUAGAAUUAAAAUUAUUUUAAUUCCAGUGUAAAUUUAAAAAAAUGGUGAUUUAAAUUCGCCUUUUUUUAAUCCUUAGGAAGGAUGUUUUAACUGAAAAACUAUUGUUCAGGCUAUAUUAAAAGAAAUGUGUGUAUAUGCAUAAAUACAUACAUUUAUAUCCUUUCUUUGCAAGUAUAGGAAGGUAUGGAGAGUUCAUGGAGCCCAAGAAAGUGAAGAAGUAUCCUGAUCAAGUCCUGUCCGGGAAUUCUGCAGUGACGCCAGCUUCCCAAUCCUGGUCAGGCUGAAACAGAAUUUUGGAACCCAUCCUAAACUAAGAUGAAACAAGUUAGGGUUGCCCUCCUGGCCUGCCCUGAAGAUGUGUUGAGGAUGUUGCAGUGCCCGGAAACUGCACUCUCUGGGACUGGUGGAAAAGGACUCCAGCAUAACGUUCCCAGCUGUAAUCAUGCAGUCAGGGGCUGUUCUGACCUUGAUUUCCUGGAGCAGGAAGCCAUCCUGCGUUCAGGUACGGACGGGGUUUGGGGUUUGGCCGCUUUCGGUCGUGUCGCUUCAGGCUGCAGUGGCUCCCCUGCCCUGGGGUCCUGGCACUGCUGCUCUGCCUCCAACACCCUCCCUGCUCAGCCACAAGGGACCAGCUCUCUGCUUUUCUGCAGUUUGUCCUGUUUGUAUCUGGCCAACAAGAGUGCUCUGUAACUGGUGAGUAAUUCAGCGGCUGACCUCUCUGGGAUGCCUGGAAUUCCUGACUCUUGAGUCAUCCUGCAUUUUGCCCUUGGAGGCAGUUUGUAGCUCUUCUCUCAGUCUUAAUUUAUUUUUUUUCCCCUGUCCCCUAGAAACAAACACCUUUGCUCCUUCCUUUCAUACUAUGUCCGUGGUCCAACUUUCAUUCCCUCUAAGAAUUUUUCAGCUAAGCCUUAAAAUUUCUGCCCUGCUUUGCUGUAAAAGAAACUGUGUUGCUGUAAGAAGAUAGUUGUGUCCAUCUUCAUUAUUGCUACUUUCUACUGCCAAAGCAAACUGUUCUGGAUUACCGCUUUUGAAUUACGAGGUGAAAGAGCCAUGCUAGUUUAGUGUGAAAUUCUGUCUAGUGUUUACAUAAUUUAUUUACCAUCAGGACUUUAAUGUGCUCUGUAAAUUUGGAGUCGCAAAUGCACUAAUGAAUACUGUUCUGCUUUCAAAAGGUGUGAGAGUGACAAAGGACCUCUCAGUGCUCUGAAAAUGAUCAUAAAUAGUCUGUCAUCUUAUGCACUCCCAUUGUGUUUGUUCUGCUCUUGUAUCAAAGUGCAGGGGAAGAGGAGCUAAUGUGCCAAAUUGCAGAAGAUGAAGGCAGAUAUGUUGCUGUAGCUCACAGCUAAAAAUGAACUGUCAGACUAAGAAGUACUUCCUAAUAUUUGGACUUCUACUAAAGUUUGUUUGUUUUUUAUAGAGGGUAGAAAUGCCUCUUUCAGAGCCAUCACUUUAAAGACUUCUGUUCCCAGCACUGACUAAAUUAUAUGGCAUGCUAAUUCUCUGUCUCCUUUGCUUACACCUGGAGGAGAAGCCAUGUGUAGUAAGUUUCCACAAGCCAAUUUACUUGAUGUGAAAGCUGAACAUUUUGAGACUAGAAUAUAGUACUCGAUGCUAGAUGUGCUUAUCUCUUCAGUAUCAUACCCUUCCCUACCCACAAGUAUCUUUACAUAUGUUAUUUAAAAAAAUGCACAGGAUUGCUAGCUUUUUACAGAUUUUUAGUAGGCAACUUCAUCCAUUUUUACUCUUACUGAAAGAAAACGUAUUCUGUUUAUCAUUCUCCUCUGUACAAGGUCAAUUACAUGCAAAGAUAUUUAUGCAGUGAUUCAAGUAAGUAUUGAUUCUCUCAUCAGUGGAAUCUGUGGUCAUAUUAGACAUGUCAGGUCAUAAAAAGCAACCAUUUUAGUUUGCAUUAGAUGGCUAAUUGCUUUUAUGUGCUUCUCCUUCAAGAAAAAAUGGCUUGUCAAACUCCUAAUGGAAUAAUCUUAUAUUUUUUUAUGAAUGUGAUAGUUACAUUAUUUGGUCUUACUAUUUGUACAUCACAUUGCGUAGAAACUUCUGGGCAGAGUACUGGACUGCAGACCUUAUUGUGGGGCCUUGGCCAUGUGUGAAAUGACAUGUUGUUACCAGGGAGCCACGGAUUCCAGUGGCAGCUCCCCACAAUAGGGGUCUGCCUAUUUGCAGUGUGGGUACAUACUUUUGACUGGAGUCAGAAUUAAUCCAAUUUUCAAAGGAUUAUGUAAAUUUAUUGGAAGUUAUUAGGAUAGUUAUUAGGCUUCAUUAAGAAAAUUUAAAAGAUUAGAUUAUUUCUGUUGCUGAUUUUCAGUUUGGACCAUGGCCUCUAUCAUAAAAUAGAAACCAUCACAUUUGUUUUCUACAUAUUAUGGGGGGGAAAAAAAAAGACUGUAAUGUUUUUUGUUUUCCAGUGUUAUGCCAAUUUUGUGGUAACUACAGAAAGUUUUAGCUAUUUUGCUAACGUGCUGCUGUUCUUGCCUCCAGCUUCUGAAGACUAUGACCCCAUAAACCUCCUGUCUGCAGAGAUAGCUAAUGCUUUAAUUGAUCAUUAGUACACUUUCAAAAUGAGUUUCCAUCUGCCAAAAGAUUAAGUGUCUCAGGGAAUUGACUGAGAGCAGUUUGAUGCAUGGAGGAUAAAUGCAAGUGCCUUUAAAAAGCACUGCUAGAUCACAAAUCCUUGAAAAACUUGGUUCUAAAAUACUUAAAAGGAAAAGUAAUAGCAAAGGUUUUUCCUCUGCUUUGUUUUUCCCUCAAAUUAAGUAUUUUUUUAUAUAUCACUGAGAAUUUGUUGCCUCAUUUUCAAGAACUGAAAAGCAAAACCUCAUGAAAAUGCUGAAUUUAACCUUAGAGCAAAGCCUGCAAUUUUUGGCAGCUUUAAUUUGCAAUGUAAAUUUUUUGUUAAAUGAGUUUAUUUCAACUGUAAAAAAACACAGGAGAAAAAAAAAAAAGAAAACUUUUCCACUAGCUGUACUUAAGAAUACUAGGAGAAAAAUACUUCUCUGUUUUAUCAUGUAUUUUCACAUUUACUGGGAUUGCUUCUCUUUCUGUUUCCUUCAAGAUUUUACCUUAGUUUAUUUGGAGACAUUUUUACAAGUUUCCUGUUGGUUUCUCUCUGCCAUUUUUUGUACAAGCUGCUUUGGGUAAGACUUCGACCACUGCAGUAACACUUACAGUUGUUUUUAGAGAAAUGGUAGCUUCUUUCUCAGGUCUCUGGAAAAGCAUUGCUAUUAACUUGGGUAAGGACAGUUCUGACAAUGCCAUUCUGGCUGCAUUAGAGCUGGCAGCAGUGUGGUAUCAGAAAAUAGGGGCACUGCAGCUGUCCUGCAGCAGUGACAAAAGGCAGAGGUGGUCAGCUGUCACCUUCCUGUGGUUAUGGGUUCCUCAUUCCUCAUGUGGUCUUGUCCAUUCCAAAUGGGCACCUGCAGUGACUUUAGACUUCCUAGUGUCCUUAAAUGCCUUCUGCAGUAUGUGCUUUUAGCACUGCCUGCAGUUACGAUCGAGGAGGUGGCAAAGGGCCUGGCAUGGAACUGAUGGUAAAAAGAUACAGAUGGAUAUUCCAAAUUUACUUUUUUCCAAAUGUCUGUCUACUCUUCCUCUGAUUUGCCACUCAGGUUACGGCAAAACUGGUCUAAAUGCACCAUUUUGUGUAUAUUCACUAGUGGUUGUUGAAACAACACCCAAUUGAGGCUGUAAUUACAGUGAGUGGAAGGCAAAGGAUACUGCUUUUGCAAAUAACCCUUAUUUGAUUAAUAAGAUUAAUCUAACCUAUGUACGAAGGGUUGCAAUCUGUUUGUCUUGUCAGGCAAAGUGGAAGAUACUGGUGGCACAAUUGUUCUGUGACAGGAUCUUGGAGCUGGUUUAAUAUAGGCUGACUAAAAAGUGAAACUUUUUUUUAAACUUUAUUUGCCACAUGUUGAUGGGGAAGUAUCCAUUUAGAGAAUAUGGCUAAAAUUCUAUCAAACACUUCAAUGCUUGAAGAAAUAAAGAGGGGAAAUAAGAUCUUGACUUUCAAUUUUAUAAUAAUGCAAUAUGAAGGCCAGAUUGUAACUGUAGAUGUUCAUUUCAAAUUUAAAUAUUUAGCAUUUUCAGUUGUCUGUGAAUACAUGAAAAUUUAUUACAUUAAGAUGGAAUUUAGAUCUUUGACAUGAAGCUGAUAUUUUCAUAGAGUGAAAAAUAUCAAGCUGACAUUAUACUGUCUCAUUUGAUGACUUCCAAAUGUCAGAGUGCAGUAACUUAUUCAUAGGGACCACCAUGUCUUGUGAUAGUGUCAAUUCAAAAGACAUUUACAUCGACUUUUUUAUUUAAACAGGUAAAAUGGAAUAUGUAGAGUGGCAGAGGAGAAGGGGGAAAGACCAGGGCAAGGAAGUUCUUAAUAAUGGAAUGGAGGCACUUCUAAGGCUAAUUUCCACCACAGCCUUCUUCCUGACAGCAGCCUGGCUGUGCUGCUCCCUCCCAGCAUCUUCCUCCUCCCCUGCUCAGCCCGCUCUUAGUUCUUGUCAUUUCAACACAACUUAGGGGGUUAGAAAUAGCAGGAUAUACUCUCCUAAGAAGUACCCCCUCCUCCCCUCACCCCCGCCAGCCCUUGCUUUUAAAAGUGAUUUUGUAAUAAUGGGACAUACUGGAUGAUUUUGCCUGGGAGUUUAUAUGCCUAUAUAACUUAGAUCAAAAUUACAAUGUGCUUAUAUAGCUUGAGUUACAAGAUACCAGUAUAGCCUGAUGUAUCUAUAUAACCUGAUAUCAAUAUAACUUAAAGAAUGACUUUUUAUAUAUCUAUAUAACCUGACAUCUAGAUAACCUGAAUCAGUUUUUUAUACCUAUAUAACCUGAUAUAAAUAACUUUUUAUACAAUGUAAUAUCUAGUAUAUGGUUAACUAGUUGCUUAAUGCUGAAUAG